GAUUGGCUGGUUCAAUCUUCAACAACCCUUUUUGAAAUUUGUCUGGUUUGUUUGGCGUGGGACUGUUUAUUUCAUAGCAGUAACGAAGACACCAAGCGGCUUCAUCUCUUUUUAGAGAACGACUAACGUUAAAUACGAUACAGAAAUAAGUGGCCAAAGUAUUGUGAGUUCAAGGUUAAAAUCCUUAGCGUUACCACGUUAAUGGUCAAACAAGAUGGCGAUUAACGUGGGUGUUAAGGCUCUUCUCUGCUGGGUCAACACCUUAAAACUGUCAGACCGAGACAUAAAUAUAGACGAUUUACAAGAUGGGACAGUCCUACUGAAAGUUGUUUGUAUGCUGAAAAGGGAACACAACUGCCAUUUCAGUAAUUCCAUUGAGGAGCGAUUUAAGAUAAUUGCAAACUUUGUGGAAAGGGAUUGCAGAUUUACUGCAACCAAAGGCACUUCAGUGUCUUGGGACAACAUAAGACAUGAAAUCAACCUAACAGUUGAAAUUGCCAAGGUGCUUUUGUUGCUCAUAUACCACGACAUGAUGAAUGAGCGCUGCACUGUGAACUCAUUGGAAUGUCAUGUGGAGCAAGAGAUAGCACACCUUACUGAGUCCUUUGUUAUGGAGAGUGACGGCUGCGUGUUUUUGAGCAAAAGACUCGAUGCCUAUUUGGCAAGGAGACGUAUAUCUGUCAGCCGUGAAAUAUUUGAGCGAUCAGCAACCACCUCUACCUCCAAUGUGUCAACUAGCUCCUCGUUAACAGAUGACGAGUCCCCCGUUUUCGACCGCAGACAGAGAGUCACAUUUGUCGACAUGCAAACUGUGGCUUCCUCCUCAGUCAGCAACUCUCCUCUGCAGAAUAUCAUGAACACACCAAAAUUUCAGUUGAGGAAGAUGGAACGACAGAUGAUCAGGGAGAGAGACCACAGAGAUGGGUUGGAGAGUGAGCUGGCCAGCAAGAUUGCACUCCUUGCACAGAGAGAGUCCCAUUGCAACCAGUUGCAGUACUGCCUGGAUAAGCUGAAAAAAGAGCAACAUGCACAAGAGAAUUUUAUCAAGGAUCAAAUCAAUGAGCUUGAGACCAAGAACAACACGUUACAAAUGCGUCUUAAUGAGAUGUUAAAGCACAAUAAAGACCUGAAGAGUAACUCCUCACUUAUGGAGAGGAAAGUGGAUGAGCUGUCAGAUGAAAACGGUGUGCUUUCAUCCCAGAUGAGGGCAGUGUGUUCCAAGCUGGCCAUCUUCGAAGCAGAAGUUGGCAGGCUGACAGAAACCCAAGCAUUUUCUGAGGAGGAUUGGCGGAGCAAAACGGACCACUUACAGUCGGAACUUAACCAAGCCACUGCUCAAAAGGAGUUACUGACUGAACAAAUUCAGAUCCUUCAAGGAAAGAUUUCCUGUCUGGAGGAUGUAAUAAGCAGGGCCACUAAGGAAGAAGUAGGAGAGAAUAUGGGGCCUGUAAUGGAGAGAGACAUUUUGGACACUGAAAUCAAAGGUUUGAAGGAUGAGCUGGAGAGCACAUCUUGCUCCCUGAAAAAGGCUGAGGUGGAGAUUCAGGCCAAAACACAGCAGCUGGCAGAGUAUCAACAAGAAUUAAAUCAACAGAAAGAGCUCAUGCAGCAACAGGAGUCCCAAACUGAAAAAAUCAUUCAAGCUAAGGAUGAAAUUUUAGACAAAUUACAAAAGGAGAUCACUGAGCAGAGAGCAGUCCUUCAGCAAGAGAUCCUGGAGCUCAAGAUUCAACUUGAGCAAGUUACGCAGCAGAAAACUGAGCAGAUCACCAGACUACAACAGCAUAUUGAUGCUUGUGAACAAGAAAUUGAAAAACUAAAGGAAAUAAAGAGAGAAAAGGAAAGCCUUCUCUGCCAGUCUGAUGAAAACGUGAAAGAUCUUGAGACAAAGUUAUCUGCAGCCACUUCUCUCUUGGCUGAUAAAGACCAACAAAUUAACAGUCUCAGAGAAGAAGUUGACAUUCUAACAGAUAAUACCAAAAACAACAAAAAUGAAAUUCAAGCCAAAGAGGAAAUGCUUGCCAAAUUACUUCAGGAAAAGUCUAAUGAGCAAGACAUUUUUUGUAAUAAAAUCGAUACCUUAUCGGUCCAAGUGAAAGAGCUUAGCUCGUCUCUCAAACAGGCUGAGCAGGAAAUUCAAUUUAAGCAAGACCUACUGGCUAAAACCCAACAAGAGAAUGUCCAACAAAGGGAGGUACUCCAGCAACAGAUUGUAACCUGUGAAGAGGAGGUUCAGAAGUUAAACAGAGCGAUACAGGUAAAGAACGAGCAGUUUGUUAUUCUAAAGAAUGACUCUUCUCAACAGUCUGAAUCGCUGGAGCAAGAGAUUACAGGCCUGAAAGCUCAACUAGAAAAUCUUAAUGACUCUCUCAGAAAGGCUGAGGAACAAGUUCAGGCUCAGGAGGGAAUGCUUACAAAGCAGGAGGAGCAAAGUGCUCACCAGACAGUGGCCCUGCAGCAACAGCUGUCUGCUUCUGAAGAGAGGGUAAGGAGCAUGAACGAGGAGAUUCAGACUAAAGAGGAACAGAUUAACAUGUUGAAAAAUCAAAGCUUGGCGCAGUCAGAACUACUACAUCAAGAGAUCCAAGAUUUAAAGAAACAGGUUGAGUGUCUUCGUUCCUCACUGAGGAAAGCUGAGGAGGAUUUGAAAUCCAAGGAAAAUCUGUUGGCAGAAAAAUCCAAGCAUGAGCAGCAGAGCACUUUGCAGAUCGAGGCACUUGGAAAGCACAGUGCCGUUCUUGAGGAGGAGGUUAAUCGGCUGAGGGAGGAUAUCCGAACUAAAGAGGGUGAGGUCGACCUGCUAAAGGUUGAGAGCUGCAAGGAGGCAGAAGUGCUACAGAAAGAGAUCCACACUCUUAGGGACCAAGUCCAAAGUUUGAAUGAAUCCCUCAAGGCUACAAUAGAGCAGGUUCAGGCCAAAGAACACCUACUGACUCAGGAAAAAGAUAACUAUCAAAACCUGACAACAACCUCUGAAGAGGAGAUAAAAGCCCUUAAGGAGCAGAUCCAGUCUAAAGAGGAACAACUGGUCACAAUAGAAAUUGAAGGCUCAAAACAUUCUGAAAUGCUACAGCAAGAGAUCAAAUGUCUUAAAAAUCAACUCGCUAAUAUGGGUGACUCUCUCACAAAGACAGAGGAGGAGGUUCAAACUAAGGUAGCCAUGCUCACCAAACAGGAGCAGGAGAGUGCUCAUCAGAAGGAGAUACUGCAGCAGCAACUGUCGGCAUCUGAAGAAGAGGUGAGGAAGAUGAAAGAAGAGAUCCAAGCUAAAGAGGAACAGAUGAUGCUGCUGAAGACUGAGAGCUCAGAGCAGUCAGAUAUGCGACAUCAAGAGAUCCAAAGUUUAAAGAAACAGGUGGAGACCCUUGGCUCAUCACUGAGAGAGGCUGAAGAGGAUAUGCAAUCCAAGGAAAAUAAGUUUGCUGAACAGCAACUACACAGCACUCAGGAUAUGGAGGCACUCCAAGUGCAGAUGGUAGCAUCUCAUGAUGAAGUGAAACGGCUUAAUGCAGAGAUUCAGGUGAAGGAGGAGCAAUUCAUUCAUCUAAAGACUGAGACCUCUGCACACUCUGAAUUGCUACAGCAAGAGAUUGAAAGGCUGAAUAAACAAAUAAAUACUUUGAGCAAUUCUCUUGAGAUUGCCAAGGACCAGGCUCAGGCCAAAGAAGAUUUGAUGGCCAAGCAGGAGCAGCAGAGCUCUUUGCAGAUCGAGGAACUUGGAAAGCACAGUGCCGUUCUCGAGGAGGAGGUUAAUCGGCUGAGGGAGGAUAUCCGAACUAAAGAGGGUGAGGUCGACCUGCUAAAGGUUGAGAGCUGCAAGGAGGCAGAAGUGCUACAGAAAGAGAUCCACUCUCUUAGGGACCAAGUCCAAAGUUUGAAUGAAUCCCUCAAGGCUACAAUAGAGCAGGUUCAGGCCAAAGAACACCUACUGACUCAGGAAAAAGAUAACUAUCAAAACCUGACAACAACCUCUGAAGAGGAGAUAAAAGCCCUUAAGGAGCAGAUCCAGUCUAAAGAGGAACAGCUGGUCACCAUAGAAAAUGAAGGGUCAAAACAUUCUGAAAUGCUACAGCAAGAGAUCAAAUGUCUUAAAAAUCAACUCGCUAAUAUGGGUGACUCUCUCACAAAGACAGAGGAGGAGGUUCAAACUCAGGUAGCCAUGCUCACCAAACAGGAGCAGGAGAGUGCUCAUCAGAAGGAGAUACUGCAGCAGCAACUGUUGGCAUCUGAAGAAGAGGUGAGGAAGAUGAAAGAAGAGAUCCAAGCUAAAGAGGAACAGAUGAUGCUGCUGAAGACUGAGAGCUCCGAGCAGUCAGAUAUGCGACAUCAAGAGAUCCAAAGUUUAAAGAAACAGGUGGAGACCCUUGGCUCAUCACUGAGGAAGGCUGAGGAGGCUUUGCAAUCCAAGGAAGAUCUGUUUGCUAAACAGCAACUACACAGCACUCAGGAUAUGGAGGCACUCCAAGUGCAGAUGGUAGCAUCUCAUGAUGAAGUGAAACGGCUUAAUGCAGAGAUUCAGGUGAAGGAGGAGCAAUUCAUUCAUCUAAAGACUGAGACCUCUGCACACUCUGAAUUGCUACAGCAAGAGAUUGAAAGUCUGAAUAAACAAAUAAAUACUUUGAGCAAUUCUCUUGAGAUCGCCAAGGACCAGGCUCAGGCCAAAGAAGAUUUGAUGGCCAAGCAGGAGCAGCAGAGUUCUUUGCAGAUCGAGGAACUUGGAAAGCACAGUGCCGUUCUUGAGGAGGAGGUUAAUCGGCUGAGGGAGGAUAUCCGAACUAAAGAGGGUGAGGUCGACCUGCUAAAGGUUGAGAGCUGCAAGGAGGCAGAAGUGCUACAGAAAGAGAUCCACUCUCUUAGGGACCAAGUCCAAAGUUUGAAUGAAUCCCUCAAGGCUACAAUAGAGCAGGUUCAGGCCAAAGAAUACCUACUGACUGAGAAGGAAAUGGAGAUUUCUCAAGCAAAAGAUACAGUUCAAAACCUGACGACAACCUCUGAAGAGGAGAUAAAAGCGCUUAAGGAGCAGAUCCAGUCUAAAGAGGAACAACUGGUCACAAUAGAAAUUGAAGGCUCAAAACAUUCUGAAAUGCUACAGCAAGAGAUCAAAUGUCUUAAAAAUCAACUCGCUAAUAUGGGUGACUCUCUCACAAAGACAGAGGAGGAGGUUCAAACUCAGGUAGCCAUGCUCACCAAACAGGAGCAGGAGAGUGCUCAUCAGAAGGAGAUACUGCAGCAGCAACUGUCGGCAUCUGAAGAAGAGGUGAGGAAGAUGAAAGAAGAGAUCCAAGCUAAAGAGGAACAGAUGAUGCUGCUGAAGACUGAGAGCUCAGAGCAGUCAGAUAUGCGACAUCAAGAGAUCCAAAGUUUAAAGAAACAGGUGGAGACUCUUGGCUCAUCACUGAGGAAGGCUGAGGAGGCUUUGCAAUCCAAGGAAGAUCUGUUUGCUAAACAACAGCAAGAAAAUAAAGACCUCUUCCACCUGCAGCUUGUCUCAGUAAAUGCAGAACUGAACCACUACAAAGAGACCCAAGCUGCAGACCUCAAACUGAAAGAGGCUGUACAGGUUGCCACUUUAAGUGAAAAAGAGGCUCUUGUUCAGGAAAAAGAAGUACUCAUCGCCAGGAUACUCCAGGCAGAAAAGAAGCAGAGAGCUCUGGAGAAACAACUUGAAGCCAUGGUGUUUGAGAAGGAGAGACUUGCUCAAGCCAAGCAGGCCAUAAAGAAAGAGAAUGAUAAACUGGAGUCUGUGCUACAGCAGGAGCUGGAAAUGAUUAGAAUGGAGAAAGAGAAACUCUUGAAAGAAAAAGCGGAGGAAAUUGAGACGAUAAAGAAAGACCUGCAGCAACAGCUCUUGGCUAAAUCGGAGGCUGCAGAACACUACAAGGCGCAGAUGGAGAAGGCAGUGAGUCAUUAUAAUGGCAAGAAACAGCUUCUCCAGGAAAGCCAAGAGGAGACGGUUCAACUCAAGCAUUCCUUAGAGGUUAAAGAGCGUGAAGAAAAGGCUACUACCAUGGAAAUCAGGCUGCUGAAACUGGAUUUGGACAAGGCCCAAACCAAUGAGAAGGCACUUUUGAACAGGGUGGCCAGUUUGGGGGCACAGCUGGCUUUUGCUGACCGUAACCUGCGGAUACAGAAUAAGAUUCAUGGUAAUGAAGGAAGUGCAGAGUCGGGUUACUUGGAUAUUGCCGAUGCAUACUCAAGUGUUCACACAAGAGCACAGGUGAAGAGAAGCAUGAGCGUUGACAGCCUGGACCAUAGCUCUCUGGAAGACUCUCUGACCACCACAAGGAAACUUAGAGUACCCGAUGAAUCAAGCACACCGCUUAUUCGCAGUUCAGAGCGCUUGGCAGCAAAACGCCGCGGUCUUCACACAGAGUCAAUGGAAACCCUAUACUUUACACCUAUAAAUACCAGACAGAUCAAGAGGACCAGUAUGGCGCACAACAUGGAACUGGAUUCAGCCUGUAAAAAUCCAACUUCAUCAGUCAAACGACGGAGGACCACACAGGUUAUUAACAUCACCAUGACCCAGAAAACCCCAGGUAGCAGUGACCCAGAUGAGACUUUCCACAGUCUGGCCUCAGCUCGCUCCCAGCCAAACAUCUCUAGUACAAACUCUGCACGACCCGUGGGGCUGUUUGACACCCCUGCAAGAAUGACCGCCAGCGACCAAUUCAUCGGUCUGCCAGGCUACAGACGGAGCACAGUCCAUCCGCAGGCCACUGGUACAUUCUGUGCGGGAGAAGAGAACGAGCCAGAUGGGGCACCAGAGGAUUGGAUGAGGAUAGCAGAGCUGCAGGCCAGGAACAAGGCCUGCCUUCCUCAUUUGAAGAGCAGCUACCCCGUGGAGUCUGAUACUGGCCGUGGCAGUACAUUCCUUUUCACGGACGAAGAACUCCGUAUGGGUGACCCAUCUGACACAAUCCGUCGGGCGUCCAUGAUGCCUGGCCAGAUGCAAGAAUCUCUGGCCUCCCAUCGGCACUCCCUCAUGGUGGGGCAAACGGGUGCUGCUAUCAGUACUCGUUCUCACCGUCUGUCGUUGAUGCCAGGCCAGCUGCCAUCAAAAACAGUCGGCUCCUCUCAGCUGAGAAGCCCGAAAUGCACAAAGCGAUCUUCAUCUACAUUGUCUGUACAUCAAACUUCGCCUGAGAAAAAGAUGAGGGCCAGUUGCUUCCCCCGUCCACUCACUCCAAAGAACAGGAACGUGAUCAGUGGACCUUCCAACUCUCAGCUUCAUGGCAGAGCACUCAGUCCAGCUGAUCGGAGGGAGUCUAUGAUGUUCACUAUUGAAAACACCCCUAAAAACAGCAACUACUUAAAGAAAGGGCUGAACAAACUACGAGGCUCUGCCCGGAAAUCUCCAGGCAAAAGUGUAAAAAAGUUGCCCGCUCAGACAUCUGUUCCUUCAGGUGCUGCUGUGGUCCGGGCAGGCAGAGUUGGCAGCUCCAAGUCACCUCAGGUGAACACUAAAGGACAGAAGGCCACCAGCAGGUCUGCGAAGUCUCCUGGACUGACGGCUAGUGCUCGCAAGAGAACUUUCUUUUAGUAAACGUUUUUCAGAAGCGUGGGUCUGUAAAUGGAGAACAACUUGCUGGAUUUCCUAAAAGAUGAUGAGCAGGAUGAAGGUGUGAGGACAUGUUGCCAAACUGGAGUCAUGAUCGUCUCAAGUUCUACUUGAUCAUACUUUCUUUUCCCCACAAUUUGUUUUUACUAUCUUCUUUUUAUUGUUUUUACAAUCUUGUCUUUUAAAAUCUACUGUACCUUUUCAUUUUCUCUAUUAUAUUUUUCUUUUCUAUUAUAUUUUUCUCAAUAAACAUUUUAGGUGACGCUG